rnacentral:rRNA from 1 species
UUAAAUUGAAGAGUUUGAUCAUGGCUCAGAUUGAACGCUGGCGGCAGGCCUAACACAUGCAAGUCGAACGGUAACAGGAAGAAGCUUGCUUCUUUGCUGACGAGUGGCGGACGGGUGAGUAAUGUCUGGGAAACUGCCUGAUGGAGGGGGAUAACUACUGGAAACGGUAGCUAAUACCGCAUAACGUCGCAAGACCAAAGAGGGGGACCUUCGGGCCUCUUGCCAUCGGAUGUGCCAGAUGGGAUUAGCUAGUAGGUGGGGUAACGGCUCACCUAGGCGACGAUCCCUAGCUGGUCUGAGAGGAUGACCAGCACACUGGAACUGAGACACGGUCCAGACUCCUACGGGAGGCAGCAGUGGGGAAUAUUGCACAAUGGGCGCAAGCCUGAUGCAGCCAUGCCGCGUGUAUGAAGAAGGCCUUCGGGUUGUAAAGUACUUUCAGCGGGGAGGAAGGGAGUAAAGUUAAUACCUUUGCUCAUUGACGUUACCCGCAGAAGAAGCACCGGCUAACUCCGUGCCAGCAGCCGCGGUAAUACGGAGGGUGCAAGCGUUAAUCGGAAUUACUGGGCGUAAAGCGCACGCAGGCGGUUUGUUAAGUCAGAUGUGAAAUCCCCGGGCUCAACCUGGGAACUGCAUCUGAUACUGGCAAGCUUGAGUCUCGUAGAGGGGGGUAGAAUUCCAGGUGUAGCGGUGAAAUGCGUAGAGAUCUGGAGGAAUACCGGUGGCGAAGGCGGCCCCCUGGACGAAGACUGACGCUCAGGUGCGAAAGCGUGGGGAGCAAACAGGAUUAGAUACCCUGGUAGUCCACGCCGUAAACGAUGUCGACUUGGAGGUUGUGCCCUUGAGGCGUGGCUUCCGGAGCUAACGCGUUAAGUCGACCGCCUGGGGAGUACGGCCGCAAGGUUAAAACUCAAAUGAAUUGACGGGGGCCCGCACAAGCGGUGGAGCAUGUGGUUUAAUUCGAUGCAACGCGAAGAACCUUACCUGGUCUUGACAUCCACGGAAGUUUUCAGAGAUGAGAAUGUGCCUUCGGGAACCGUGAGACAGGUGCUGCAUGGCUGUCGUCAGCUCGUGUUGUGAAAUGUUGGGUUAAGUCCCGCAACGAGCGCAACCCUUAUCCUUUGUUGCCAGCGGUCCGGCCGGGAACUCAAAGGAGACUGCCAGUGAUAAACUGGAGGAAGGUGGGGAUGACGUCAAGUCAUCAUGGCCCUUACGACCAGGGCUACACACGUGCUACAAUGGCGCAUACAAAGAGAAGCGACCUCGCGAGAGCAAGCGGACCUCAUAAAGUGCGUCGUAGUCCGGAUUGGAGUCUGCAACUCGACUCCAUGAAGUCGGAAUCGCUAGUAAUCGUGGAUCAGAAUGCCACGGUGAAUACGUUCCCGGGCCUUGUACACACCGCCCGUCACACCAUGGGAGUGGGUUGCAAAAGAAGUAGGUAGCUUAACCUUCGGGAGGGCGCUUACCACUUUGUGAUUCAUGACUGGGGUGAAGUCGUAACAAGGUAACCGUAGGGGAACCUGCGGUUGGAUCACCUCCUUACCUUAAAGAA